GACGAACGCUGGCGGCGUGCUUAACACAUGCAAGUCGUACGGUAAGGACCUUUCGGGGGUACUCGGGUGACGAACGGGCGAGUAACAAGUGAGUAACCUGCCUACCCCUUACGGAGAACGAUAGGCUACUGACGCCAAUUCUGGCUGUGUGUUUCUGCUGCAUGGAGGGGGUUGGCAAGCUACGGCGGUUGUGGUUGGACUCGCGGCCUUUCCGCUUGUUGGUGGGGUAGUGGCCUACCAAGGCGGUGCCGGGGCGCCGGCCUGGGGGGGUGGCCGGCCACAAUUGGGCUGGGAAACGGCCCAGACUCCUUCGGGAGGCAGCAGUGGGGGAUAUUUCACAAAGGGCGGAAGCCUGAUGCAGCAACGCCGGGUGCGGGGUGACGGCCUUCGGGUUGUAAACCGUUUUCAGCAGGGACGGAACUUUUUGUGACGGUACCUGCAGAAGAAGCACCGGCUAACUACGUG
rnacentral:rRNA from 1 species